CCUACGGGAUGCAGCAGUCGAGAAUCAUUCACAAUGGGGGAAACCCUGAUGGUGCGACGCCGCGUGGGGGAAUGAAGGUCUUCGGAUUGUAAACCCCUGUCAUGUGGGAGCAAAUUAAAAAGAUAGUACCACAAGAGGAAGAGACGGCUAACUCUGUGCCAGCAGCCGCGGGAAUACAGAGGUCUCAAGCGUUGUUCGGAAUCACUGGGCGUAAAGCGUGCGUAGGCUGUUUCGUAAGUCGUGUGUGAAAGGCGCGGGCUCAACCCGCGGACGGCACAUGAUACUGCGAGACUAGAGUAAUGGAGGGGGAACCGGAAUUCUCGGUGUAGCAGUGAAAUGCGUAGAUAUCGAGAGGAACACUCGUGGCGAAGGCGGGUUCCUGAACAUUAACUGACGCUGAGGCACGAAGGACAGGGGAGCGAAAGGGAUUAGAUACCCCAGUAGUC
rnacentral:rRNA from 1 species